rnacentral:lncRNA from 1 species
CCGGACCUUCAUCUUCUUCCUCCAGUUCUUGGACCUUGGAUACAACCUAGUAAGUGCAGCAGAUUUGGGGGCGAAUUUGGGUUUCGAUUUGGGACACUUUGUUCAUGGGUACAUUUUGGCAAGAAAAUGAAAGCUGGAAUUGCUGUUUGACACCCGUUCGAUCUUGGAAAGAAAAAGCACAAAGCCAUGGCUACUUCGUUGGCUGCAACCUUCGCUCGAUCUGCCUCGAUGAUUCCCCGCC